GUUUUUAUAGCUUAAUAUAAAGCAUAGCACUGAAGAUGCUAGGAUAAUCUAUAGAUUUAAAAACA
rnacentral:tRNA from 1 species